rnacentral:rRNA from 1 species
CAGUCGCCGCGGGAAUACGGAGGGGGCUAGCGUUGUUCGGAAUUACUGGGCGUAAAGCGCACGUAGGCGGCUUGGUAAGUUAGAGGUGAAAGCCCGGAGCUCAACUCCGGAAUUGCCUUUAAGACUGCCGAGCUAGUAGGUGAGAGAGGUAAGUGGAAUUCCGAGUGUAGAGGUGAAAUUCGUAGAUAUUCGGAAGAACACCAGUGGCGAAGGCGGCUUACUGGCCCAUUCUAGACGCUGAGGUGCGAAAGCGUGGGGAGCAAACAGGAUUAGAUACCCGUGUAGUCCCUGUCUCUUAUAC